UACAGAGGGGGCAAGCGUUGUUCGGAGUUACUGGGCGUAAAGGGCGCGUAGGCGGCCUUCUAAGUCGAACGUGAAAUCCCUGGGCUCAACCCAGGAACUGCGUCCGAUACUGGAAGGCUUGAAUCCGGGAGAGGGAUGCGGAAUUCCAGGUGUAGCGGUGAAAAUGCGUAGAUAUCUGGAGGAACACCGGUGGCGAAGGCGGCAUCCUGGACCGGUAUUGACGCUGAGGCGCGAAAGCCAGGGGAGCAAACGGG
rnacentral:rRNA from 1 species